GACGAACGCUGGCGGCGUGCUUAACACAUGCAAGUCGUGGGGUGGUAGCAAUACCUCACCGGCGAACGGGUGCGUAACACGUGAGCAACUUUCCGAUUUCUGGGGGAUAGCCGGCCCAACGGCCGGGUAAUACCGCAUACGCUCUUGGCGAGGAGUCUCGCUGGGAGGAAACCUCCGGGGAAAGUCGAGAGGCUCGCGGCCUAUCAGCUAGUUGGCGGGGUAAUGGCCCCACCAAGGCGACGACGGGUAGCUGGUCUGAGAGGAUGGCCAGCCACAUUGGGACUGAGAGACGGCCCAGACUCCUACGGGAGGCAGCAGUGGGAAUCUUGCGCAAUGGUCGAAAGACUGACGCAGCGACGCCGCGUGCGGGAGGAAGCUCUUCGGGGUGUAAACCGCUGUUGCCCGGGACGAAAUGCCCUUUCGAGGGUCUUGACGGUACCGGGUGAGGAAGCGCCGGCUAACUCUGUGCCAGCAGCCGCGGUAAUACAGAGGGCGCGAGCGUUGUCCGGAAUCACUGGGCGUAAGGGCGCGUAGGUGGCGGCAUAAGGCUGUGGUGAAAGUCCGGGCUCAACUCCGGAUCGGCCGUGGCAACUGUGUCGCUAGGGCACCGUAGAGGCAGAUGGAAUUCCGGGUGUAGCGGUGGAAUGCGUAGAGAUCCGGAAGAACACCGGGUGGCGAAGGCGGUCUGCUGGGCGGUGGGCAGCAAUGCUCCAAUAGCCGACACUGAGGCGCGACAGCGU
rnacentral:rRNA from 1 species